ACAGCGGUAUCAGCUUCGUUUCCGUCACUUCUACGCUCUCCUUCUCCCGCACUAGACAAGAAGUGGGCCCCACUCCCCCGAUGCCAUUCUCACAGAGCAAUUUCUUUAAACCCUAACUGAUGCUCAUAGGUUCUCUUCACCGUUUCCCAAAUUGAACUUCGCAGUGCGUGAUAUUAUGUCGUCGGAAGAAAUUGGUCUUGCUUCAGAUCAGAGGAUCGAUAACGGUCUUAAUUCACCUCUAGUGUUCCCAGGCGACUCCUUGCGUUACAGAUGCGGAGCAACGCAAAGUCGGGUUGGGGACCCGGGUUCGAAAACGAGGGAGCUUGGCGAUUUAUUUGAUGAGAAGAUGUUCUCUGUAGAUCGUGAUCGUUUUUUCGCGGCUCAGGGAGUGGAGUUCCGUCGUAAUGUUUACGGGGAUUGCUCAGACCAGCGGAACCCACCGGCUGCCCGGAAUUGGAAUGGGAACGGGACUGCAACUCCGAGCGGUGAUGAAUCGGACGGCGAGGAUGGUGAAGACGAUGAGGAAGUUGACGACGACGACGACGACGACGACGAUGUUGAGGGAGGCGGUGACGUAGAAAGAAUAGUUGAUGUUAACGAUGCAAGCAAAGGGAAUUCCAAUCCCAAUUCAAUUAAUGAUAUUAACAAUAACAGCGUGAGUGGUGGUAACCUGGCUAGUGCUGUGGAUGGAAUAACGAACGGAAAAGCUCAACAUCGUUCGUCCUACGGAUCCAGUAGAGAGGUGCUGGGGAAGGAUGGAGAAAUUGGGCCGACGCUUAAUAAUUCGAGGGGUAACGAAGGAGAUCAUCAGCAAGAAAGGUUAGAUAAAUCGCAGAAUGCGGUCACGAUUGCCGAAACUGAUUGUGAGGAGUAUUAUUCACACUAUCUUCAAGGCACGGAGGGCUCAGCUUCUGUGCAGAAAGCUAUAGCGGGGGAAAAUGGUUGCGGAUUUAGUGGAAGAAAGGACGUUAUUUAUUCAAGCGAGUCAGGCGACUCGUUGAGAGCAGUGCUUUCAGAUCCUAUAACGGGAUCUCUUAUGGAUGAUGCAAUGAUAUUGCCUUGUGGACAUUCCUUUGGUGGAGGAGGAAUACAGCAUGUUAUUAGAAUGAAAGCUUGUUGCACUUGUUCCCAGCCCAUAUCUGAAGAAUCAAUAUCUCCAAAUCUAUCACUUAGAGUUGCUGUGCAGGCAUAUCGUCGAGAAGAGGACUCACUGUUUUACCGAUCAUCCAAAAGAAGAAGAGAAAGAAUUGAUCAGGGUUGUUAUGGUGAUUCAACAGUUAUGGAACAACCAAGAGGAAGGGGUGUUCAAUUUCCAUUUGCUGUGAUGGACCGGGUUAUUAUAAAGGGGAACAAGAGGACACCACAGCGUUUUGUUGGACGGGAAGCUAUUGUAACAACACAAUGCCUGAAUGGAUGGUCAGCCACUUUCUAACUUCUUUCCCUUUGGCCGUUAAAUCAAAUCUUGGUUGCUGUAUGUGGGUUCACGCACAUGGAGGAAGAGGUUUCAAUAUCUAUGCCCUAACAAAAACACGGUAUGUGGUUAAGACAUUGGACAACGCAGAGAGUGUUAAAUUGCAGUAUCGCUCGCUCGCUAAGGUUUCAGAUGACCCUUCGAAACCAGCCUCCGGCAAGGUGGGACCUAAUUGGCUUUAAAUCUGCAUAUGCCAUGUCACGAUGUUUCUUCUUCUGCUUAAAUUUACUCACUGCCAUAUUACUUGCAAGAAAAUGUGCUUACAGACUUUGUUAACAUAGAAGCGUGGUUAGAGAUUGUA